rnacentral:rRNA from 1 species
AUGUCUAACUACAUGGCGUACCUGCUGUAUGUGAAUCCUGAGAUGUUAAUGGCAGGCAGCAGAAGGAGGCUUUUCACAGAUGCUUAUGAAGAACUGGAGGAACUGAAGGGCAUCAUCAUCCAGGGAGACGAGCAACCUCCCAAGGAAAGAGAGCUUACACAGAGGAUAAUUGCUGAGGUGGGUGGUGGAGGUGCAGGUACCCAACACCCCCAGGGAGGAAUUAUCCGCGACGCUUGGAGAAUUUCCAAAGUGUUAUCGGAUCUCCCUGAAGACAAGAUGUGGACUGUGAUUGAAGGCGUGUGGGUGGAGAUGUUGUGCUUCUCUGCCGCUAGAUGCAGAGGGUACCUGCACGCCAAGGGUCUGGGCACAGGCGUGGAGUACCUCACCUAUGUCUGGCUCCUAUUGUACUACAUGGGGAUGGAGACUUUGGCAGACAAACUGCAGAGGGUGGAUCAUCAUCGCCAUCACCAUCGCAACGGAGGAGGGCAUGGGGAUGGCCCAUCAACUUCUGGUGUCAGCAGGGCCGCCACUGCCCAAGAGGAAGCUGCUGGUCCUUCAAGAUCAAGUGGUGGUGCCGCCGAGGAACAAGCCACCGGUCAAUCCGCCGGUUACCAUGACAGUGAUGGCAUAGUAGAAGAAAUCGUCUGA